AUUGAACGCUGGCGGCAGGCCUACCACAUGCAAGUCGAGCGGAUGACGGGAGCUUGCUCCUUGAUUCAGCGGCGGACGGGUGAGUAAUGCCUAGGAAUCUGCCUGGUAGUGGGGGACAACGUUUAGAAAGGAACGCUAAUACCGCAUACGUACUACGGGAGAAAGCAGGGGACCUUCGGGCCUUGCGCUAUCAGAUGAGCCUAGGUCGGAUUAGCUAGUUGGUGGGGUAAUGGCUCACCAAGGCGACGAUCCGUAACUGGUCUGAGAGGAUGAUCAGUCACACUGGAACUGAGACACGGUCCAGACUCCUACGGGAGGCAGCAGUAGGGAAUAUUGGACAAUGGGCGAAAGCCUGAUCCAGCCAUGCCGCGUGUGUGAAGAAGGUCUUCGGAUUGUAAAGCACUUUAAGCUGGGAGGAAGGGCAGUAAGCUAAUACCUUGCUGUUUUGACGUUACCGACAGAAUAAGCACCGGCUAACUCUGUGCCAGCAGCCGCAGUAAUAC
rnacentral:rRNA from 1 species